UCUAAUUUCCUCUCUUUUUGUUUUGUUUUCAGUGUUGGCGGGGUGGAACAGAUAACGUUAUGUGCUCUUGCGGGUUGCUAUCUUAGUCCGUGUUCUGCCCACAGUAAAGGUUUCGGGCCAUUUCAUUAAUAGUAAUUCUGUUUCUAGUUAUCGCUGUGCAUUGUGGGUAGCAGACGCCAUGUUUCAUCAGACGAGUCAUUACAGAAAACCUGACCGUGGUCGUUGCAACUGGUCCUCCUGAGUUAUAUUCCUUUCGUUUCACCUUCGAAAGUAAUGACUUUUCACUCUACAAUUCAUUGAGCUGAUGUCACGGUUGUUCACUGUACGCCGUCAAGAAGACCGUAAUAAAGGAACAAGACGCUCAGUUUCCUGGCUCAUGAAUAAAUGAGUUUGGCUUGCUGUU